UGGCAACCCAUCUAGGAAGCAGCCUUGAAGUAAUGACACUAGUAGCAACACAUUAUGUCCCUGAAUUCUGGUAACAUGAAUUUAUAAUCUGCACUUAGGAGCUGUAAUUUAUAUAAAGUAAGAAAAAAAAUCUGAACACACCCUAGAAUGGGGUGCUAUUAUUUAGCAAACCAUUAGCAUUCCAUUCCUUUAGCAUAUCCAUGAUAAAAAGUGAUUCUGAUUGGAUAACAUAAUACAGAGUAAGCAUUCAUAUGAAGCAAGUCAGCUGUUUUUAGACAAAACCAGAGUCUGAAGAUAGAAAACUGACACAGCAUUCUCAUUAAUUGAAAGGAGGAGAUUGAGAUAUGAAGAACAUAAUCUUGGUGUUGGGUCUUUUAAGCUCUUGUCUAGCUGCUCCUGUGAAUCAAAUGCAUGAGAGAAAAGCCAGAUCUAUCAGUUAUGAGGAUUUUGGUUUCAUGAUGCCAAGGAUGAUGCAGACUUUCUCAAGAUAUCCCUUUCCAAUUCCAUUUCCAGUUCCAAGAUUUCAGAUUUCUCUUCCUUCUCAGCCACUUCCCCCUCCAAUAAUCCUCUUACAUGCUCCUAUGGCUCCUUCAGUUCCAGAGCCCUUGCCUCCCAUUAUAAUUAUCCAGCCAGACCAGCCUGCACCAGGCCCCGCCUCUCCCCAGCCAGUCCCACCUUCAACCGGCCCAGGCAGUACUGCUCCUUUCGCUCCAGUUUACCUCAUUCCAAGAUUUUAUCCCAAACAAACUCCCAUUCAACCAGGACAACCUCUCUAAUCCACUAAUGAAAACAUUAGAAAUUGUAUCAUUGGUGAAGGUUAAAGGAAUAUAAAUACUGUACUAGUCUGUCAAAAAAGACAAAUAUAUAUUGUUUUUAUACCUAAAUGGGUAACAAUUUCUAAUACUGUACACAAAUUCCUAAUUGAUUUGACAACAAUAGCACAGGAAUAACACAUGACUAUUUAACAAACAUCUUCCUAGUUCUUCUGCAAUUCAGUGUGAAUUUAAAUCUCUUCAAUAAUACCUGAUCACAUUGGGUAGUGUGCAUGCAACUCAGAUUGUAUAGUGUCACAUUUCAUACAGCUAAUUCCUUUAUACGGUUUCUUUUAAAACCUUGUUUUUACCCUUCCACAUACAUACAGUAUCAGGUUGUUGUGCUUUCGAGUUCCAAAACUUAAUGCUCUUAAUAUUGGCACAUAGAACAUGAGGUUUGUCAUUCAUCAUGUGAUUACAAAACUUGCAUGGACUAUAAGUUAAUUCAUGUAAAUUCCUUUGCUAAAGAACAAUAUGGCAUAAAUAAAUAACAGCUCAAAUUUCACUAGAAGAGGAAAAUGCCUACCCAUGUAUGAUGAACAAUGAACGGUAGCUUCUCACUGUGUGUGCAUUAUGUGGUUUUGCAUUUAACUGAAUCCCUAAAAAGGUACAGGGUAAUUUCAGACUCAUUGUUCAUUAUACAUUAGUUAGAACAGUUAUCCACAAACAUAUCCAUAUACAGAUUCCUGUAGUGAUCCUCUAAUUACAGCCCCCAGAUUGAAAUGGGUGAUAAUCACCCUUUAUCCACAUUUGUUGUUUUUUAUCCACUAACCAAUCCAAACACAUGGAUCUCCUUAAAUGCCUAGUGGCAGCAAGUACAGAAUUGAUCUAUAAUGAGGCACAUUUUCAAAAGCAUUCAGAAAAAUUAAUUAUACCAUAUCAGAUGUUUAUAUACUUUUAUAAAAUUCACAAUUAUUAUCCAUGUAACAUUAAUGAAUAAUGAUUGUUGUUACUUUUGUCACCUUAUUACAUAUGGGUGCAAUUUUCCAGUAAUACUUUCUUAAAUGACAUGCAAGAGCGUACAUAUACAGACAAAAGUGCAAAAUAAUGCUGUUCAGUCUCAUUAAGAUGUCAAAUGAUUAAGUUUUUCUCUCAUUUUUUGUGACACAUCUCAUGUUUCUCAUGCCACCUCUAACAUGGACUAUGUUAAUAUGAAAUAUUCUUUUUUUUUUUACUUUUAUAUACACAAUAAAGUCCAUACAAUACACAAAGACAAGCCUUAUAACUCUAUGCCAGAAUAGUGUUAUUCGUUAAAUAACAUUGAUCUGUAUUUUCCAAAGCAGAAUACAAAUUUCAAAUACAGGGAAAAGGGAGAGGCCUCUCCUAACUUUGAAAGGUGUUAGGCUUGUUUUGAUUUUCUUCUGAGACUUGGUAACACUGUGUAGAAUUUCAGAUUAGACAGGUUGUCAGAAGAUGUGUUACACUGAGAAUUAUUCAUUCAAGAAUUACUGAGCUUUAACAUUUAACUACAGAUGGUGACUUUAUAAUUAAAAUGAGCAUAUUCAUCCAGAUCUGUAGAUACUAUAGCUGUACUUUAUAUGGGCUCAUGUGGUUUAUAUGAGCCUUUAGGAAUAGAAGAAAUGCUGCUCUUUAGCUGAAAAUCAAACCCUGCUAAAGUGUUGUUCACUAGCAGCAGCAAGAAACAAAGAUAUUUUACUGACUAAAAAAAAACACUUGACAAUAAAAACAAUACUAUAGCAUGUACUAAAGAUAUAAUUAUAAACAAAAGAUUAACAUCUCAGGGCAGCUAAAGUCCAAGCACACAGUCAUGACAAGUACAGCAGAAUAAAUAUACAAAGAUUGUCCAUUGAGAUUUCCUGACCCGGAUAUCGUGGAUGAUCCUGACGGAAGACUGGGUACCUAAGAAGCUCAACAUUCUGAAAACAUUUCAAAUUCCACGCAGCUGGGAAUGAUUCUAAAAAGGACAAAGGCUAAAAACUCAUUGCACUCAAUGCCAACAAAAUUUGGUUUCAUGUACAAGUAUGCAAACAAGAUGAAAACAAGUACUAAAUCAAAUAUGUGGUGAAAUAAUAUUUUUGUCUCAGCGUUAUAAAAGUUUUUUCAAGUGUUGUAUUGUUUCUAUAGACAUGUAUGCAAACAACUACAAAAUCUAAUUAAACUAAAAAAAUGAAUGCCUGCACACAUUUAGUAGUAAGAAUAAUGAUUAAAAUGUGUAAUAAAACAGCAACUGCAUGAAUGAUUAUUGUGUUUUGCUUAUAAUUAUGACAACUACUGUAUGUAACAUUAUUUUUACUGUACUGUAUAAAACUUACAUGUAUUUAUUGUAUAUUGGAAAGUGAAAACUUUGAUCUCCGAAAGAGAAUUUGAAUGCUAGAAGAAAAAAAUAGUCAUUGCAAAGGUCCCAACGUAUAUCAGCUAUAACCCAAAUCUGUUUUUUUCUUCUAUGUACCACAUAUAAUUAAGUGUACACUGCUUGCCUUGUAUUCCAUUAUGUAAGACAAUUAAAUGACACAUGUCUGGAUUACGUGCAACUGUUUCCAUAAUCCUAGGUGCUCAAGUGUUUAUUUUACAAGGAAAUUAUACCUAUCCAGCACUGAGUCCAUUCUUCUGCUGAAAUACUUGACAAAAAACAAAGAGGUAAACAAAAUAACAAUAGACAUAUACACAUUGUAUUCAUUACUUAGGCAUAUGAUUAAAGUGUGCAGUUAAAAACAACGAAAAUGCCAUCCUUUGUCUCUUCAACUGAUUCUGUUAACAUCUGUUUUACGAUGGUUGGAAAGGCAUGACAUUUUAGGAUUUGCUUUCACAUGCUUUCAUUAUACACAAUUACUAUGCAAAGAAAUAGUGCAGGUUUACUAACAUUCAUAUAGAAACUAUACAACAAG
ensembl:lincRNA